rnacentral:lncRNA from 1 species
GGUCUUUGUUUCUCUGGUUUCGGCCGGGGAAGGAGGCUGAAAUCCGGCUGGUUUGGGGUAAAAAAAAUAAACGGGGAAGAGGGGAAGAUGGUGGAAUCAGCCGGGAGUGGGGAGAGGGUCAGAUCCGGUGGUAAAAAAAAAUUCAAAAUCGGGGGGAGGCGGUUGUGUUUGGGUCAGCGGCUGCAGGAAAAAAAAUCUUUUAGGUUUAGGGUUUUUUUGUUCUUAUGUUGCCUCUCCCCUAAUCACAA